GUGCUCUUUUUCAUCUCCUGGAUCAGAGUGGAUUUUGUUUUGGCAUAUCCUCAGAAGAUCAUCUAAAGCUGAUUCAAAAUGAAGGUUCAAAAGUUCAUUUGCAAACUGAAUUUCUUCAUCAUUUGGAACAUGCCACUUGGGGAUCAUUUUUUCAGCACUAGUAUAAUCUUUUGUGCUGAUCCAUUCUUCUAAUGCCACAGCAGCAGGGUGGCACAACAUACACUUGUAUUGAUCAAUAGGAUAAUAAAGAACCACACUUCCAAGGACAGAUCGAAGAAGAUGAUCACCAGCUCCAUUAACCUUCCACGAGGGAGAUUCAAAAGCAGACACAAUAGCUUCUUUGAACUGUUCC
rnacentral:misc_RNA from 1 species